GAUGAAGAACGCAGCGAAAUGCGAUAAGUAAUGUGAAUUGCAGAAUUCAGUGAAUCAUCGAAUCUUUGAACGCACAUUGCGCCCCUUGGUAUUCCGAGGGGCAUGCCUGUUCGAGCGUCAUUAUAACCCCUCAAGCUCAGCUUGGUGUUGGGGCCUGCUGCACUGGCAGCCCUUAAAAUCAGUGGCGGCGCCAUCUGGCUCUAAGCGUAGUAAUUCUUCUCGCUAUGGAGUCCUGGUGGAUGCUUGCCAUCAACCCCCAAUUUUUCUAUGGUUAACCUCGGAUCAGGUAGGGAUACCCGCUGAACUUAAGCAUAUCAAUAAGCGGAGGA
rnacentral:misc_RNA from 1 species